GACGAACGCUGGCGGCGUGCUUAACACAUGCAAGUCGAACGGAAAGGCCCUGCUUUUGUGGGGUGCUCGAGUGGCGAACGGGUGAGUAACACGUGAGUAACCUGCCCUUGACUUUGUGAUAACUUCAGGAAACUGGGGCUAAUACCGGAUAGGAGCUCCUGCUGCAUGUUGGGGGUUGGAAAGUUUCGGCGUUUGGGGAUGGACUCGAGGCUUAUCAGCUUGUUGGUGAGGUAGUGGCUUACCAAGGCUUUGACGGGUAGCCGGCCUGGGAGGGUGACCGGCCACAUUGGGCCUGCGAUACGGCCCAGACUCCUACGGGAGGCAGCAGUGGGGAAUAUUGCACAAUGGGCGGAAGCCUGAUGCAGCAACGCCGCGUGCGGGAUGACGGCCUUCGGGUUGUAAACCGCUUUCGCCUGUGACGAAGCGUGAGUGACGGUAAUGGGUAAAGAAGCACCGGCUAACUACGUG
rnacentral:rRNA from 1 species